GUCCACCCAGAUUUUCACGUGUCCCAGCUCAAGCCGUUCACUCCCAACUACACUCUGGUCUUCGCCGAGCUGCCACGACCGCCAGACCUCGCCGGCCACGACGACGAACCAGUGGAGAUCCUGGCGCGCCGCAUGGUUAAGCGUGGCAACAGCGCACUGGUCCAAGUCAAAGUGCGCUGGCGCCACGACAGGACGGCAACAACAUGGGAAGAUCACGACACUCUGCGCCGCCGCUUUCCGCACGCACCGGCGUGGGACGCGCAAGUCACCGAGGAAGCAGAACAGCAAGCUGCAACUGAAGACGGAGCUCGUUCUGAAGAAGAGGGGAAUGUCACACCUGCAUCGCCAGGAGGUGAUGCGGUGGACGCGUGA
rnacentral:rRNA from 1 species